ACGGGGGGAGCAAGCGUUGUUCGGAUUUACUGGGCGUAAAGGGCGCGUAGGCGGCCACUGCAAGUCAAUUGUGAAAUCUCCGGGCUUAACUCGGAAAGGUCAACUGAUACUGCAGGGCUAGAGUGCGGAAGGGGCAACUGGAAUUCUCGGUGUAGCGGUGAAGUGCGUAGAUAUCGAGAGGAACACCUGCGGCGAAGGCGACUGCCUGGACCAGCACUGACACUGAGGCACGAAAGCGUGGGGAGCAAACAGGA
rnacentral:rRNA from 1 species